rnacentral:rRNA from 1 species
UACGGGGGGGGUAAGCGUUGUUCGGAAUUACUGGGCGUAAAGGGCUCGUAGGCGGCCAACUAAGUCAGACGUGAAAUCCCUCAGCUUAACUGGGGAACUGCGUCUGAUACUGGAUGGCUUGGAUUCGGGAGAGGAAUGCGGAAUUUACGGUGUAGCGGUGAAAUGCGUAGAUAUCGUAAGGAAGACCAGUGGCGAAGGCGGGUCUCUGGACAGUUCCUGACGCUGAGGCACGAAGGUC